UACUGUUUAGACGCAUUGGAGCUAUACGCGUUUUAUUUCGCAUAUAAUUUCAAAUUGUGCACGAGUUUAAAAUAUUUUCGAAUUUAAAAUAUUUAUUUUUUAGUCAUAAAUAUUUGAAGUACUUGUGUUUUUUUACGAGUGUUUUUAAUUCGCAUAUUUAUUUACGAAUUUGAAUUACCAAUUUUAUUUGCAAAUGUUUGACAUAUUAUUUCCGAUUUUUUAAUAUGUAUUUAUUCGCGAGUGUUUAUAGAAUUUGUGUCUUAUUUGUAUAAUUUUAAAACACGUUUAUUUAUGCAUGUUCAAAUUAUAUACAUUUAUUCACGAGUGUGAUAAUUUUUCAUUUUUACGAUAUUUUAUUUGUGUGUGUGAUAGUUUCGCGCGUUUUAUUCGUAAAUGCCGGUAUUUCGUUGUCAAGAUGGCUGAAGCUAUUGGAUUACUAAAUACUUUGGUGUUAUCUAUGAAUGACAAUGAUUCGGUGAUCGUGCAAUUAAGCAGUUUUCAACAGUCAAAGUGGCAGCCAUCAACAAUCUCCUUCUCUGCGCGAGCCCCGAGAGAUAUAAGAAGACAACGUUGGAAGAAUUGUCGCGGUUUGAGAAUACGUUUUACACGAUGAACGAACCAGAUCCUUGUCUACCAUUGAUUCUACCACCUAGAUACAGGCUUCGUGAUCUCAUACUGGGGGAUUAUGCUUUCAACGACGAUGGGGAAAGAUACUCGAGAAGCGUUGUGAUUUUAUUAUUAAAAUUUUCCAAACGAAUUGAAUCUUGUCUUGAAUUCCCUUUAUCCAAUAUCGAAAGGAACGAAUAAUUCGUUUGCUCUACCAUUGUAUUUAUCCAGGCGAAGCAUAAAAUAUUAAAAUGUUGAAAUAUUGAAAUAUUUCAUACUGUAAAUUAAUCGUGUGUUGCUCGUUUAUGUAAUAUUUUAAUCUCUUAAUAAAUUAAUCGUUGGAGUUUCGAGUGCUUUCGUAUGAAAUUUAUUAUUAUUAUUAUUAUUUUCUUUUUUGUUGAAAAAGUAACUCUCUUCAAUUCGAGACAACACGCGACGUGUUAUCUUGUGUAUCGAUCGUAUUUCCCUUUGAGGGGAAUAGAAGUAUGAUAUUUUUUUAACGAAUUUAAUUGCAAUUUCUUCGAAUCGCUACGAAUCCCUCGAUAAUUCAGAUUCUUAUGUCGCAGUGGUGAAUUGAAUUGAACGACACGAUGUCUAUUGUUGCCAUUUGGAAUUUCGAUUCGUGGAG